GUUCAGUUUUCUAUUCGGCAGAUUCGUGUACAGACGUAUUGUAAUUAUUUAGUAAAAUUUUUAUUUGUUUUUUGCUUUUAUAUUUUUCGAUAAAGUGCCAAAAAUUUUUGAAGUGGAAAAAUGUCAGUAGGUGAUGAGUCGUUCUCUGAACUCGAAUGCAGUGACAGUGAGGCUAGGCGCACCUAUAACGAAAUAAAAAGUCUACUUUGGGAGACGAUGGAUGUGUUGGGCGGUGGUCCGGUCUCAAAGAAUGAAAUCCUAAGGAUGUUGAGCUUGACCACCGACAAGCAUCCGAUGGCGUUGGUCGACGAUGUUGAAGAAAUCAUCGAUGAUCUUGUAUCCAGAGGAUUAUUGCGCAAACUAGGCAACAAUUACACGAUUGUCAAACGUAGAGAAACCCUCGAGAAAGCCAGCCUCUUUGAGAAUAUUCCUCCUAAGAAGUCAUUCGAUUAUUUUUCGUGAUCGGACGGAGUCAGAGCAGGCAGACGAAUCACACAAUGACUCUUAAGAAAAAGUUUUUAUACUUUUUAAUAAGGAGAUGGAUGGAUGGUAGUUUAUUAUGGCGAAGGAACAAUAUUGCCGGAAUAAAUUGUUCUGUUGAGGUGGAUGGCAAUAUUCAUAUUCAGACACAGGAUAAAUUUCCAGUAUAAGGUAUCUAUUUGGCGUAGCCGUGUAAAAAUUGUACUAUAUGUUCGAAAUAAAUCUUGGCCAACAAAAUA